rnacentral:rRNA from 1 species
GAAUGCCUACGGGGCGCAGCAGUGGGGAAUAUUGCACAAUGGGGGAAACCCUGAUGCAGCGACGCCGCGUGAGUGAAGAAGUAUUUCGGUAUGUAAAGCUCUAUCAGCAGGGAAGAAAUAGCGACCUUUGGGUCGCCAGACGGUACCUGACUAAGAAGCCCCGGCUAACUACGUGCCAGCAGCCGCGGUAAUACGUAGGGGGCAAGCGUUGUCCGGAAUUACUGGGUGUAAAGGGAGCGCAGGCGGGAAGCCAAGUCAGCUGUGAAAACUACGGGCUUAACUUGUAGACUGCAGUUGAAACUGGU